AGUGAACGCUGGCGGUAGGCCUAACACAUGCAAGUCGAACGGCAGCACAGUAAGAGCUUGCUCUUACGGGUGGCGAGUGGCGGACGGGUGAGGAAUACAUCGGAAUCUACUUUUUCGUGGGGGAUAACGUAGGGAAACUUACGCUAAUACCGCAUACGACCUACGGGUGAAAGCAGGGGAUCUUCGGACCUUGCGCGAUUGAAUGAGCCGAUGUCGGAUUAGCUAGUUGGCGGGGUAAAGGCCCACCAAGGCGACGAUCCGUAGCUGGUCUGAGAGGAUGAUCAGCCCAAAUGGAACUGAGACACGGUCCCGACUCCUACGGGAGGCAGCCGUGGGGAAUAUUGGACAAUGGGCGCAAACCUGAUCCAGCCAUACCGCGUGGGUGAAGAAGGCCUUCGGGUUGUAAAGCCCUUUUGUUGGGAAAGAAAAGCAGCAGGUUAAUACCCCGCUGUUCUGACGGUACCCAAAGAAUAAGCAACGGCUAACUUCGUG
rnacentral:rRNA from 1 species